AACAAACGCUGGCGGCGUGCCUAAUACAUGCAAGUCGAACGGGGAAAGCUUUCGGGUGAGUACUAGUGGCGCACGGGUGAGGAACGCGUGGAUAAUCUGCCUUAGAGUGGGGGAUAACUAGUCGAAAGAUUAGCUAAUACCGCAUAAGACCACAGGAGCUGCGGCUCAAGGGGUCAAAGGUUUUUCGCUCUAAGAUGAGUCCGCGUAAGAUUAGCUAGUUGGUGAGGUAACGGCUCACCAAGGCGACGAUCUUUAACUGGUCUGAGAGGAUGAUCAGUCACACUGGAACUGAGACACGGUCCAGACUACUACGGGAGGCAGCAGUAGGGAAGAUUGCACAAUGGAGGAAACUCGGAUGCAGCGACGCCGCGUGAGUGAUGAAGGCCUUCGGGUCGUAAAGCUCUGUCGCAGGGGAAUAACACAAUGAAGGUACCCUGUAAGAAAGGAUCGGCUAACUUCGUGCCAGCCGCCGCCGUAAUAC
rnacentral:rRNA from 1 species